rnacentral:rRNA from 1 species
CGGCGUGCUUAACACAUGCAAGUCGAACGAGACGAUUUAGAAGCUUGCUUUUAUGAGUCGAGUGGCAAACGGGUGAGUAACGCGUAGACAACCUGCCGCAAAGAUGGGGACAACAGUCCGAAAGGACUGCUAAUACCGAAUGUUGUAUCUCCUCCGCAUGGAAGAGAUAUUAAAGAUGGCCUCUACUUGUAAGCUAUCGCUUUGCGAUGGGUCUGCGUCUGAUUAGCUAGUUGGUGGGGCAACGGCCUACCAAGGCGACGAUCAGUAGCCGGUCUGAGAGGAUGAACGGCCACAUUGGAACUGAGACACGGUCCAGACUCCUACGGGAGGCAGCAGUGGGGAAUCUUCCGCAAUGGGCGAAAGCCUGACGGAGCAACGCCGCGUGAGUGAAGAAGGUCUUCGGAUCGUAAAGCUCUGUUGUCGGGGACGAAUGUUGAGACCUAGAACAUAGGUUUCAAAUGACGGUACCUGACGAGGAAGCCACGGCUAACUACGUG